GGACUACUAGGGUUUCUAAUCCCGUUCGCUCCCCUGGCUUUCGCACCUCAGCGUCAGGUAACACCCAGGACACUGCCUUCGCCUUUGGUAUUCCUCCGGAUAUCUACGCAUUUCACCACUACACCCGGAAUUCUGUGUCCCUCUGUGUCCCUCAAGUCACGCCGUUUUUCCCACGCUCUCGUCGUUAAGCCACGAGCUGUCAUAGAAAACGUGCGCGACCGCCUGCAUGCCCUUUACGCCCAGUAACUCCGGACAACGCUCGCCCCCUACGUAUUACCGCGGCGGCUGGCAC
rnacentral:rRNA from 1 species